ACGGAAGGCAGCAGUGAGGAAUAUUGGUCAAUGGACGCAAGUCUGAACCAGCCAUGCCGCGUGCAGGAAUAAGGCCCUAUGGGUCGUAAACUGCUUUUGUGGUGGAGCAAUAAGUCGUACGUGUACGGCGAUGAGAGUACAUCACGAAUAAGCAUCGGCUAACUCCGUGCCAGCAGCCGCGGUAAUACGGAGGAUGCAAGCGUUAUCCGGAUUUAUUGGGUUUAAAGGGUGCGUAGGCUGUGGUCCAAGUCAGGGGUGAAAGCCCGGAGCUCAACUCCGGAACUGCCUUUGAUACUGGAUUGCUGGGAUACGGAUGCCGUGGGAGGAAUGAGUAGUGUAGCGGUGAAAUGCAUAGAUAUUACUCAGAACACCGAUUGCGAAGGCAUCUCACGAAUCCGUCAUUGACGCUGAGGCACGAAAGCGUGGGGAUCAAACAGGAUUAGAUACCCUGGUA
rnacentral:rRNA from 1 species